UCCGGUUUGUCACCGGCAGCCCCAUUAGAGUGCUCAACUGAAUGUAGCAACUAAUGGCAAGGGUUGCGCUCGUUGCGGGACUUAACCCAACAUCUCACGACACGAGCUGACGACAGCCAUGCAGCACCGUCUCACUGGUUCCCCGAAGGGCACCCCUGCAUCUCUGCAAGGUUCCAGUGGAUUUAACCCAGGUAAGGUUCUGCGCGUUGCGUCGAAUUGAACCACAUGCUCCACCGCUUGUGCGGGCCCCCGUCAAUUCCUUUGAGUUUCGGUCUUGCGACCGUACUCCCCAGGCGGAGUGCUUAAUGUGUUGACUUCGGCACAGCAGGGGUCGAUACCCGCUACACCAAGCACUCAUCGUUUACGGCGUGGACUAC
rnacentral:misc_RNA from 1 species